ensembl:lncRNA
AUGCGCCGUCCGGCUCUGGCAGGGCAGAAAUAUUCCAGAAACGUGCCCGGCUGCUGCAGCGCUUCGGCGAGACCGCAAGCAUCCGGCAUCCGCGCCAGCAGAGCCCCGCGCGCCCGGCUGGGAGCCCUUGUCUCUGGCGGUGCCCAUCCCCGGGGCGUCUGGCCGCGGUGUGGCAGGCCGCCGGCUCUUUGCCGGAGCCAGGUUUGCCCACGGGCUGCCUGGCGAGGGGUGUYGUGGGGGUCCCGGGGAGGCGGCUCGUGCUUGGCUGGGGGAUGCUGGGGACCCGUCGGAUGCUGUGYGCGGCCGUGGCGCCCCUGCCAGCCCCGGGAGGCGUGCGGAGCCCGGUGGCUUGGGGUGGGGGCUCGUGCGCCCCGCGCCGAGAGAGCGCCCCGGCUUUGCCGCUGGGAUGCCCYGGCCGGCCGCUCUGCUGCCUGCCCGGAAGAGCCGCCCGCAGCCGYGUGUCCCUGGCCGUGCCGGCGGUGUGCCCGGCUCCCGCCCGGCCGCCUCUCGGGACACGCCGAUAUUUCCAGGCAAAACGUCCCGUUCGCUCCACCCCGCGCCUCCGCUCGCGGGCGAGUUCCUGUUGCUAGAGGACGCGGCCGUGACCUUUGCGCUAGUGACGCCGUGUCCGGCGCUGCCUGCGCCUGCUGGCGUCACCCUGCCUGCCUCCGCCGCGCCCCGCGUGGUUUGGCGUCCCCGCGCCUCCGGGCGUUGCGGGGGCCGUUGGGUCGCACCAUCACGGGCCCCCGCCGUGGCCGCUGCACCUCCCUGUCUCCGCGCGGCUCCGGGCAGGGCUGGCGCGGCGGGGACGCGGCCGUGCCCUUGCAGCGCGCUGCGCGUUCGCCGAGAAACCCCAAACGAGCCGCCGAGCUGGCUGCGAGCCCGGCGUGGCCGCGCUGUGCUGCGGCAGCUUGGCGAGGGGCCGGAGCCGGCGCUGGGGCCGCCGGGUGGCCGUGCCUCGUCCCCGCAGCCGUGCCCGCUCCCGGCAGGCGCCGCGCGGCAGGAGGCACCGGGUGCCGCCGCACCGGUGCCCGGCCCUUUCCAGGGAGAUGCUGCGACGUGCGCCAGCGAGCUUUGCUGCAAAAGUGGCCUCAACGCUGGCUGCGCAGCUGCUGGAGCGUGCCUGUCUGUCUGUCCAUCCAUCCCAGCAGCCCCGGGGCCGGCAGCGGAGCUCUGCCCUGGGGUGCGGGUCCGUGCACCGCUCUGCUGCUAAUUAACGUUCGGCAGCUGCCUGCGCUCGGGGACGGCGGGGGYGCGGGGGACACCCAGCCCCUGCCCGAGCCGUGCCGCGUGGCCGGCGGUGGGGUGCGCCGGGGGCUGGGGACGUCCCUCCGCAGGUCACACCAGCCCGCAGCGCCCCAGCCGCUUGCUGUGCACAGCAGAGCCUCUCCGGCUGCUCCCGCGGGCGCCCCUUCCCUGGAGCGCCGCCGGGGUCUCGGCACCGGCAGCGCCGCGAGCGGCUCGGGGCGGCCGCCGGGCUCUUCCUCCUGCGGCGCCCGGCUGCCGCGGCCCCACAUCACUUCCUCCGGCGGCGGUGGUGGCGGCGAGGCGCGAUCCCCCAGCGCCAUGCGUGCGGGGCGGCCGCAGGCGAGUGGGGGUGGCGGCGGGGGGGCGCGGGGCCGGGCGCUCGCAUUCCUCCGCUAUUUUUAG